rnacentral:rRNA from 1 species
UACGUAGGGUGCGAGCGUUGUCCGGAAUUACUGGGCGUAAAGAGCUCGUGGGUGGUUUGUCGCGUUGUUCGUGAAAACUCACAGCUCAACUGUGGGCGUGCGGGCGAUACGGGCAGACUGGAGUACUGCAGGGGAGACUGGAAUUCCGGGUGUAGCGGUGGAAUGCGUAGAGAUCCGGAAGAACACCGGUGGCGAAGGCGGCCCGCUGGGCAGGAAGGCUCGCAAGAGCCGGCUGACGCUGAGGCGCGACAGCGUGGGGAGCAAACAGG